CAUUGAUCUUUUCCUCCGAUUUUCGCCGAGCUUUUGUUGCUGGAUUUGAAGCUUGUUGGGUUCGUCUUGUGCCACCUUGAAAGCGUGCCGAUGGGGUAGAACGUGGUCGUUGUAUCACUAGGAGUAAUUGCCGGAAAGCCUCGCACGUGGAGGGACAAUUUCGCUUAUAGGACAGUGCUCUGCACGUCUCGAUCCACAUGUCUUUUCUAAUCCUUAUAUUUACAAUAUUUUUAUUUUGUUUCGUUUCGAAAUUUUUUUAAACCUGAAAUUAAACUUUCGAAUUGAUUUUUAAAGAAUAUUA
rnacentral:lncRNA from 1 species